AAUGGGUCAGCGACUUAUAUUCUGUAGCAAGGUUAACCGUAUAGGGGAGCCGUAGGGAAACCGAGUCUUAACCGGGCGUUAAGUUGCAGGGUAUAGACCCGAAACCCGGUGAUCUAGCCAUGGGCAGGUUGAAGGUUGGGUAACACUAACUGGAGGACCGAACCGACUAAUGUUGAAAAAUUAGCGGAUGACCUGUGGCUGGGGGUGAAAGGCCAAUCAAACCGGGAGAUAGCUGGUUCUCCCCGAAAGCUAUUUAGGUAGCGCCUCGUGAAUUCAUCUCCGGGGGUAGAGCACUGUUUCGGCUAGGGGGCCAUCCCGGCUUACCAACCCGAUGCAAACUGCGAAUACCGGAGAAUGUUAUCACGGGAGACACACGGCGGGUGCUAACGUCCGUCGUGAAGAGGGAAACAACCCAGACCGCCAGCUAAGGUCCCAAAGUCAUGGUUAAGUGGGAAACGAUGUGGGAAGGCCCAGACAGCCAGGAUGUUGGCUUAGAAGCAGCCAUCAUUUAAAGAAAGCGUAAUAGCUCACUGGUCGAGUCGGCCUGCGCGGAAGAUGUAACGGGGCUAAACCAUGCACCGAAGCUGCGGCAGCGAACGUAUCACCCAAGACAACUUUACGGAGUUGACGAUUGACGGAGCGAAGCGACGUCAAAGCGUUCAUUAAAGUCGAGUUGGCUUAGGGAUACGUUCGUUGGGUAGGGGAGCGUUCUGUAAGCCUGUGAAGGUGUGUCGUGAGGCAUGCUGGAGGUAUCAGAAGUGCGAAUGCUGACAUAAGUAACGAUAAAGCGGGUGAAAAGCCCGCUCGCCGGAAGACCAAGGGUUCCUGUCCAACGUUAAUCGGGGCAGGGUGAGUCGACCCCUAAGGCGAGGCCGAAAGGCGUAGUCGAUGGGAAACGGGUUAAUAUUCCCGUACUUGGUGUUACUGCGAAGGGGGGACGGAGAAGGCUAUGUUGGCCGGGCGACGGUUGUCCCGGUUUAAGCGUGUAGGUGUGUGUUCCAGGUAAAUCCGGUUCACUUUAACACUGAGGCGUGACGACGAGGCACUACGGUGCUGAAGCAACAAAUGCCCUGCUUCCAGGAAAAGCCUCUAAGCAUCAGG
rnacentral:rRNA from 1 species